GAAUGAAUCACCGAAUGAAUGAAUGAAAUUUUAAUCCUUAUAACAAAGAUAAGGCUGGAUCCUAAUAUAUUGCUUUAGGAUGAUUUUCAGGAAGCUCUACAAUUCCAAGCAUUUCCUCUCACAACAAUUUAAUAAAAAUAGUUAGAGUUUAUGGAGAUAUUGUGGUCCCAUAGAUGUUGUAUGAAUUUAACUCUGCAUGUGAGAUAUUUGCUGCACUAAAAGAAAGACUUAUGGAGGUA
rnacentral:lncRNA from 10 species